rnacentral:rRNA from 1 species
GCCAAGUCGUGAGGCGGAGCUAAUCCCUUAAAGCCAUUCUCAGUUCGGAUUGUAGGCUGAAACUCGCCUACAUGAAGCUGGAGUUACUAGUAAUCGCAGAUCAGAAUGCUGCGGUGAAUGCGUUCCCGGGUCUUGUACACACCACCCGUCACACCACGGAAGUUGGGGGCGCCCGAAGCCACUUAGCUAACCCUUUUGGGAAGCGAGUGUCGAAGGUGAAAUCAAUAACUGGGGUGAAGUCGUAACAAGGUAUC